GAUGAACGCUGGCGGCGUGCCUAAUACAUGCAAGUCGAGCGAAUGGAUUAAGAGCUUGCUCUUAUGAAGUUAGCGGCGGACGGGUGAGUAACACGUGGGUAACCUGCCCAUAAGACUGGGAUAACUCCGGGACACCGGGGCUAAUACCGGAUAACAUUUUGAAUCGCAUGGUUCGAAAUUGAAAGGCGGCUUCGGCUGUCACUUAUGGAUGGACCCGCCUCGCAUUAGCUAGUUGGUGAGGUAACGGCUCACCAAGGCAACGAUGCGUAGCCGACCUGAGAGGGUGAUCGGCCACACUGGGACUGAGACACGGCCCAGACUCCUACGGGAGGCAGCAGUAGGGAAUCUUCCGCAAUGGACGAAAGUCUGACGGAGCAACGCCGCGUGAGUGAUGAAGGCUUUCGGGUCGUAAAACUCUGUUGUUAGGGAAGAACAAGUGCUAGUUGAAUAAGCUGACACCUUGACGGUACCUAACCAGAAAGCCACGGCUAACUACGUGCCAGCAGCCGCCGCCG
rnacentral:rRNA from 1 species